rnacentral:rRNA from 1 species
CCUACGGGUGGCUGCAGUGGGGAAUAUUGGACAAUGGGCGAAAGCCUGAUCCAGCCAUGCCGCGUGUGUGAAGAAGGCCUUCGGGUUGUAAAGCACUUUCAGUGGGGAAGAAAGCCUUGGGGCUAAUACCCUCGAGGAAGGACAUCACCCACAGAAGAAGCACCGGCUAACUCCGUGCCAGCAGCCGCGGUAAUACGGAGGGUGCGAGCGUUAAUCGGAAUUACUGGGCGUAAAGCGCGCGUAGGCGGUCUGAUAAGCCGGUUGUGAAAGCCCCGGGCUCAACCUGGGAACGGCAUCCGGAACUGUCAGGCUAGAGUGCAGGAGAGGAAGGUAGAAUUCCCGGGGUAGCGGUGAAAUGCGUAGAGAUCGGGAGGAAUACCAGUGGCGAAGGCGGCCUUCUGGACUGACACUGACGCUGAGGUGCGAAAGCGUGGGUAGCAAACAGGAUUAGAUACCCUAGUAGUC